AACAGUUAUUGGUGUAUAAAUGAAAAAAGUUUUUAAAGAGGUUUCUAUCAUAGAAAAGAUUUGAUCCUCCUUAAGUCGAAUCUCCUCCUCAUAAUUUAAAUAUGUUUUAAAUACGUUCGUCCUUCCGUCAACAGCAAAUAAGCAAAUCACAGAGUCAGAGCGGGACAUCACUCUAUUUAUGUGAUGCUUAAACUCUCUUAAACUUUGGAGAACAGAGAAGACCCCAGUACAAACAUCACACACCAUGUUCUCUACAUCUCUACUGCUCCUGCUGGCAGCUGCUUCCUAUGUGCAUGGUGAGGAACUGACUCAGCCUGCUUCCAUGACAGUCCAGCCAGGCCAGAGUCUCUCCAUCAACUGCAAGGUUUCAUACUCAGUUACAAGCUAUUAUACAGCUUGGAUCCGACAACCUGCAGGAAAAGCUCUGGAGUGGAUUGGACGUGUUUACAGUGGGAACACAGAUUACAAUAACAAACUGAAAAAUAAGUUCAGCCUCUCCUAUGACACAUCUACUAACACAAUAACAAUUCGAGGACAGAACAUGCAGACUGAAGACACAGCUGUGUAUUACUGCGCUCGAGACCCCACAGUGAUACACAUCAUCAACAUGCCUGUACAAAAACAUUACUAUUGUACAUGAUAACAAAAUCAACACAAGACACAACCCUUACUUACAAGCCUACUGGUCAUAAACAACAACUGUUUAUCAGCAAAAUCAGAAUUUCAAUCAGAAUUUCAUCAGUUUGGUGUGUUUUGUGUCAUGUUCCUUCAUGAACAUUGGACAAAGUCCAGAGUGAAAAGUGCUCAUCAUGUUUUAAAACUCUGUGUGGUUAUUUUAUUUUACAGAAAAAUCUAAAUAAAAUAUAUGAACCAUUUCCAAACACAUACAGUACCAGUCCUGCACAAGUGU